rnacentral:rRNA from 1 species
GACGAACGCUGGCGGCGCGCCUAACACAUGCAAGUCGAACGAGAGAAGAAGAGCUUGCUUUUUUGAUCGAGUGGCGAACGGGUGAGUAACGCGUGAGGAACCUGCCUCAAAGAGGGGGACAACAGUUGGAAACGACUGCUAAUACCGCAUAAGCCCACGGCUCGGCAUCGAGCAGAGGGAAAAGGAGCAAUCCGCUUUGAGAUGGCCUCGCGUCCGAUUAGCUAGUUGGUGAGGUAAUGGCCCACCAAGGCGACGAUCGGUAGCCGGACUGAGAGGUUGAACGGCCACAUUGGGACUGAGACACGGCCCAGACUCCUACGGGAGGCAGCAGUGGGGAAUAUUGCACAAUGGGGGAAACCCUGAUGCAGCGACGCCACGUGGAGGAAGAAGGUCUUCGGAUUGUAAACUCCUGUUGUUGAGGAA